UACAGAGGGUGCAAGCGUUAAUCGGAAUUACUGGGCGUAAAGCGUGCGUAGUCGGUUAUUUAAGUCGGGUGUGAAAGCCCCGGGCUCAACCUGGGAAUUGCAUUCGAUACUGGAUAGCUAGAGUUCGGCAGAGGGAAGCGGAAUUUCCGGUGUAGCGGUGAAAUGCGUAGAUAUCAGGAGGAACACCAAUGGCGAAGGCAGCUCGCUGGGACGGUACUGACACUGAGACGCGAAAGCAUGGGGAGCGAACAGG
rnacentral:rRNA from 1 species